UACGUAGGGGGCAAGCGUUGUCCGGAUUUAUUGGGCGUAAAGAGCGUGUAGGCGGCUUGGUAGGUCUCGCGUCAAAACCUGAGGCUCAACCUCAGUUCGCGUGGGAAACCACCUAGCUAGAGUCCGGAAGAGGAGAACGGAAUUCCCAGUGUAGCGGUGAAAUGCGCAGAUAUUGGGAAGAACACCAGUGGCGAAGGCGGUUCUCUGGGACGGUACUGACGCUGAGGUGCGAAAGCGUGGGGAGCAAACAGG
rnacentral:rRNA from 1 species